rnacentral:rRNA from 1 species
GAUGAACGCUGGCGGCGUGCCUAAUACAUGCAAGUCGAGCGAACAGACGAGGAGCUUGCUCCUCUGACGUUAGCGGCGGACGGGUGAGUAACACGUGGAUAACCUACCUAUAAGACUGGGAUAACUUCGGGAAACCGGAGCUAAUACCGGAUAAUAUAUUGAACCGCAUGGUUCAAUAGUGAAAGACGGUUUUGCUGUCACUUAUAGAUGGAUCCGCGCCGCAUUAGCUAGUUGGUAAGGUAACGGCUUACCAAGGCGACGAUGCGUAGCCGACCGGAGAGGGGGAUCGGCCACACUGGAACUGAGACACGGUCCAGACUCCUACGGGAGGCAGCAGUAGGGAAUCUUCCGCAAUGGGCGAAAGCCUGACGGAGCAACGCCGCGUGAGUGAUGAAGGUCUUCGGAUCGUAAAACUCUGUUAUUAGGGAAGAACAAAUGUGUAAGUAACUAUGCACGUCUUGACGGUACCUAAUCAGAAAGCCACGGCUAACUACGUG